GGAAGGUAGCUUGCUACUGGACCUAGCGGCGGACGGGUGAGUAAUGCUUAGGAAUCUGCCUAUUAGUGGGGGACAACAUCUCGAAAGGGAUGCUAAUACCGCAUACGUCCUACGGGAGAAAGCAGGGGAUCUUCGGACCUUGCGCUAAUAGAUGAGCCUAAGUCGGAUUAGCUAGUUGGUGGGGUAAAGGCCUACCAAGGCGACGAUCUGUAGCGGGUCUGAGAGGAUGAUCCGCCACACUGGGACUGAGACACGGCCCAGACUCCUACGGGAGGCAGCAGUGGGGAAUAUUGGACAAUGGGGGGAACCCUGAUCCAGCCAUGCCGCGUGUGUGAAGAAGGCCUUAUGGUUGUAAAGCACUUUAAGCGAGGAGGAGGCUACUUUAGUUAAUACCUAGAGAUAGUGGACGUUACUCGCAGAAUAAGCACCGGCUAACUCUGUGCCAGCAGCCGCGGUAAUACAGAGGGUGCGAGCGUUAAUCGGAUUUACUGGGCGUAAAGCGUGCGUAGGCGGCUUAUUAAGUCGGAUGUGAAAUCCCCGAGCUUAACUUGGGAAUUGCAUUCGAUACUGGUGAGCUAGAGUAUGGGAGAGGAUGGUAGAAUUCCAGGUGUAGCGGUGAAAUGCGUAGAGAUCUGGAGGAAUACCGAUGGCGAAGGCAGCCAUCUG
rnacentral:rRNA from 1 species